rnacentral:rRNA from 1 species
GAUGAACGCUGGCGGCGUGCCUAAUACAUGCAAGUCGAGCGAACAGACGAGGAGCUUGCUCCUCUGACGUUAGCGGCGGACGGGUGAGUAACACGUGGAUAACCUACCUAUAAGACUGGGAUAACUUCGGGAAACCGGAGCUAAUACCGGAUAAUAUAUUGAACCGCAUGGUUCAAUAGUGAAAGACGGUUUUGCUGUCACUUAUAGAUGGAUCCGCGCCGCAUUAGCUAGUUGGUAAGGUAACGGCUUACCAAGGCAACGAUGCGUAGCCGACCUGAGAGGGUGGUCGGCCACACUGGAACUGAGACACGGUCCAGACUCCUACGGGAGGCAGCAGUAGGGAAUCUGCCGCAAUGGGCGAAAGCCUGACGGAGCAACGCCGCGUGAGUGAUGAAGGUCUUCGGAUCGUAAAACUCUGUUAUUAGGGAAGAACAAAUGUGUAAGUAACUAUGCACGUCUUGACGGUACCUAAUCAGAAAGCAACGGCUAACUACGUG